rnacentral:rRNA from 1 species
GAGUUUGAUCCUGGCUCAGAUUGAACGCUGGCGGCAGGCCUAACACAUGCAAGUCGAGCGGCAGCGCGGGGCAACCUGGCGGCGAGCGGCGGACGGGUGAGUAACGCGUAGGAAUCUACCUGGUAGUGGGGGAUAGCCCGGGGAAACUCGGAUUAAUACCGCAUACGCCUUAAGGGGGAAAGCAGGGGAACUUCGGUCCUUGUGCUAUCAGAAGAGCCUGCGUUGGAUUAGCUAGUUGGUAGGGUAAAGGCCUACCAAGGCGACGAUCCAUAGCUGGUCUGAGAGGAUGAUCAGCCACACUGGGACUGAGACACGGCCCAGACUCCUACGGGAGGCAGCAGUGGGGAAUAUUGGACAAUGGGGGCAACCCUGAUCCAGCCAUGCCGCGUGUGUGAAGAAGGCCUU